AUUACACAGAUCGACCAAUAUGCACAUCUAUAUGUAUUUACAACAUAGCAGUUUACAAAAUUCUUUACAAAAUGAUAAACUUACAAUAUAGAUUGAAAAAAUAUAUCACACAUCACGGUUGGGAAUUAGUACAAUUCAUGUUACAUACAUACUAUCAAGGUUGUUAUUUAGAUUCUUGCUAUUCGGCCCUCCUGAUGGCAACCAUCAUGUCACGGCUGAUUCAUGUGCAGCAUCAAGUAGCCAGCUUCCCAAUAUUACCUGCAAAUUUAAAAGAUCCUUCAAUUUUUUUGAGGGAUAUAAAUAAAUAGUAGAAAUAAUAUAAUAGCAACAAAUAUAAAAAUGAAUUACAUGUGCAAAAUUCUUAGGUCUUAUAUCUUAUAGUGCCUACAGAUGAGGAUAACAUUGUAUCCACUAUAAAACAAAAGUAAACAUGAGGUUUCUUUAAAUUAGUCCAAAGAAUCACUAUAACAGCAGUAGUUGAGGCCAUAUAAUCCUGUCCAGGUUUAUAAGAUUACCAAAUGUUGGGGACCAUAUGUAAUUAAGAGGAAAAAUCUCCGUGCACUACACGUACUAACUCUGCACCAGUUUCUAUUAUAAAUAAAUAUAACAGAGUAAAGGGGGCAGGAAAAGGUUUAUCUUUACAACUUGUCUAGAUGGAGGCAUUUAGUAUGUAACAUCCUGAACAUGGUGACAUGUACUGAGAACAAGAAAUUCAUCAUUGUAAUAUAUAUUAAAAUGAGCAAAGGUCUGGAGCUACUUGUACGCAUAAAUUAUAUAAGCUGAUAAAGUAAAAGGACACCAACUACUUCAAGGUAGGCAUAUAAAAAAUAAUAUCAAAGAUUAUAUAAGCAGCUUGGCAUAACCCAGGAACAAUCAAGACUGACUUGUACCAGAUUUCAAUGUUAACAGAAAUCGGGGGGGCUGUUUGGUUUGUGCCCCAACUUACCCUCCAAACAUUUGGCACAAACAAAGCAAGGGCAUGACCAAAAUUUCGGUGUGGUAGUGUUGUUUGGAUUGUAGCCGUAGCAUCAACCAAUUUUUUAGCAAGAUGGUUGGGUCUCUGUUUGAUUUCUAGCCAAUUAAGAUACCACAUAUCUGUAUCUGAGGUCUUUUUUCUUUUUCUUUAGCAAAUGAGCAUUUGAGGUCUAACUUGAAAUGUUUAUGUAAGGAGCCAAUAAAUCAUGAUGACCAAACAGAAAAAAGGGCAUAAAAAGGGUUCAAUGAAGUAGCACACACACGUGUUUAUCAAGUGAAACACACACAUACUAGCAGACUGGAUCAAUAUGAUCCAUGGAGGCGUUCGCAUACGGGCUAGCUAAUUAAUUUUCCAGCUCAUGUAACAGCCAAGCAUAAUACAUGGGAAUGCUAGCAGGUUGGCAGCCAAUAUUUUGGCAGACGAAUUCAUCGCCCUCGGCUCGCCCGCAUAUUGGCGAGAAUUGCAUGGGCAAACACCGGGUGGGCUGGGCAAGCCAAAUAUUUGAUGUCCAGCCAAAUAGCAGCCAAAACUCACGGGGACACCAAUAUUUUGGUAAGGCUAGCUUUGGCUCAAAACCAAACACACCCCAGAAUACAUAGUCGUCAGCUAUUUUGGCUGGACCUUUUUUUCUUCAAGUAGUGUUUUUCUUACAAAAGAGGGCAGGCCUGGCGCAGUGGUGAAGUCCUCCCCACUUGUGCCAAGAGGUCCUGGGUUCGAACCAGCCUCUCUGCAUUGCACUUUGCAGGGGUAAGACUAGGUUCCUAUAAUUCUUCCCCAGACCCCACCUUGUGUGGGAGCUUCUAUGCACUGGGUCUGUCCUAGUGUUUUUCUUACAAAAGGACAUGUCUUUCAGAACAAAAGAUACAAAAAUACCACACGUAUAUUUGCAGAUAACAAAUGUGAUCAACCAAGCAUUCCAUGGCAACAAGCACCGCCAUCAUCUUGGUACAAUAGCAUGAAAAUUCUAGUGACAUAAAUUUAUCAACUUGAUUGUGUGGAAAUCGAUAUGAUGGCAAUUUUCACCACAUAACACAUAGAAAAUCUGCACAUAAUAUUUAACAGAGAAGCAGUGUAAUAGCUAACAAAGAAUCUACUCUUGGUUAAUGGAUUCAGUCAGAUUAAUGAACCACUUUCCCUCCAUAAACAACAAAAUUCAAAGGAACCAACAGAAGCAUCUCAUGGGCAUUUAUUCCAUGGUCAAUGGAUCUCACAAAUUCUACACUACUAGUGCUCGCACAGUGAGAGAAGAAAAAGAAAAUAGACAGCAGUGUGGCGGAGGACGAAUGUUUUCUAAGGUGGGGCGAACUCUAAAGCACAAAAAAAAUUGAAAGACAAUGGUAGUGCAUACAAAUACUUUUAGCUGAAAAUGCCACUAAAAUUCAAAAAAAUUACACACCUCCCCUUUGCCUUUGCUAGCCUUUUCCCCUUCCUAUCAUCUUCUUUUCCCUUCACCAGCAAAGUCCGCAACGCUGCUGCGCCACCCGCAGACAUUCACUGUUUUUAAUCAGCAAUUGUCAAUUUGUCAUCAAUAUUCAGACAAAUUUCUAUCACAGACCAUAAAGCACAUAUAAAAAUGACUGUAAAGCACUGAGUAAUUACUAUCACAUAUCACACAUUCUCACUGUUCUUAAUUAGAAAUUUUCGUCAAUAUGUUAUGAAUCUGCAGCCACCAGUGUAAACACGACUAUAAAAAAUAGAAAACAGAACGUGGAUGGAAAAAUAACACGGAGUCAAUGAGGGGUGUGGACGCUGACUGCCGCCCUUGCCGCUCCAGCUGGCCGCCGCCCUCGCUGCUCUCGCUGUCCACCGG
rnacentral:lncRNA from 1 species